UGAGGUGAAUAGUGCUAUAUCUAAAACCCAGAAGUUGAAAACACCAGGUCCAGAUGGAUUUUCUAAUCUGUUUUUUCAUACUUAUAAAUCUAUUUUGAGUAAACAAUUAGCAUCAACGUUUAAUAAUGCGGUUCAAAUAGGAAGUUUUCCUGAAGAGAUGACUAGAGCUAAUAUGCUCCCCAUCCUGAAACAAGGAAAAGAUCCAACUAUUGUGGCUAGUUAUCGCCCUAUCUCUCUAAUUAAUUCAGACGUAAAAAUAUUCUCAUCUAUAUUGGCAGACCGCCUUAAGAGUAUCAUUAAUAAGCUCAUUCACAAUGAUCAAAUAGGUUUUAUUCCAGAUAGAUGGGUAGGCUCUAAUUCAAGAAGAAUCAUAGAUAUAAUUGAUAAUGCUAAUAAGAAACAUAUUCCUCUUAUGACCUUAGCAGUUGAUGCAGAAAAAGCCUUCGAUAGGUUAAAUUGGAAGUUUUUAGAAUUAACUUUAGAAGCAUAUGGAAUAGAAGGCUGGUUGUUAAGAGGAAUUAUGGCUUUAUAUAAAAAUCCUUCAACUAGAAUAGUAGGCCCAAAUAUUUGUUCAGACUGGGUAUCAGUAAACAAUGGGGUGAGACAAGGAUGCCCACUUUCGCCAUUACUAUAUGUUCUUUCAAUAGAGCGCCUAGUGGAAAAUAUUAGGAAAAAU